rnacentral:rRNA from 1 species
AAGCAAUCCCUGAGUACAGUGGCGACCGGGUGAGUAACACGUGACUACCUACCCUUGAGUGGGGGAUAACCUCGGGAAACCGAGGCUAAUACCGCAUAAUAUCGAAAGAUUAAAGGAGAAAUCCGCUUUUGGAGGGGGUCGCGGCUGAUUAGCUAGUUGGUAAGGUAAUGGCUUACCAAGGCGAAGAUCGGUAUCCGGCCUGAGAGGGCGCACGGACACACUGGAACUGAAACACGGUCCAG